rnacentral:lncRNA from 1 species
CUAGGAUCAGCAGUUUCUCCAAGGAACCCAUGUUCCUUUUAUUGGAAGUGGUAUUAGUAACCAAGAUCUUGGUGCUAGGUGAACUCAUUGCUACUGGAGUGUUGCUGCUUCUAGAACUUCUUAACUGACUGAGCAAGGAAGUAUUGAGACAUGAUGUGAAGUGGAAAACAGAGAGCCUCAGGAGCCUGGUGAUAAUGGAGCACAUGAGCCAUCAGCUUGUCUCUCCUGCUUUCUUCAGCAUCCUGUCUUUUGGGCUGUUACAAUCUGAUUCUAAACUUUAUGAUUUUGGCCUUUUUUGAGGAAUAAUAAAGCCCGGCCUUUGAGAACUG